GCCUCUUGUAGAGUUGGAGUGACUCUUUGAGGCUCAUCUGUGUGGAGGGGUUGCUGGGGCAUUAGUAGCCUUCCCUGCAUCUUCCAGUUUUAGUUUUUUCAUAUACUCAUUGAAUGUAACAGAAUGUAACAUUGGGCCCUUGUGCCUACAAAAAUUAUACAACUUUCAGCAACGGAUCUCUUGGCUCUCGCAUCGAUGAAGAACGCAGCGAAAUGCGAUAAGUAAUGUGAAUUGCAGAAUUCAGUGAAUCAUCGAAUCUUUGAACGCACCUUGCGCUCCUUGGUAUUCCGAGGAGCAUGCCUGUUUGAGUGUCAUUAAAUUCUCAAUCGUUAUUAGCUUUUGCUGAUGAUGACUUGGAUAUGGGGGUUUAUUUUGCUGGCUUCUUCACAGAUUGUCAGCUCCCCUUAAAUGCAUUAGCUGGUGCCCCGCGUGGACUUGUCUAUUGGUGUGAUAAUUAUCUACGCCGUGGACAUCUACAAUCAUAUGGGUUUGCGCUGCUUCCAACCGUCUGUUGAUUCAGACAAUACAUGACAAUUUGACCUC
rnacentral:rRNA from 1 species